ACCUCCUGAGGGUGGGGGACCACCAGGUUGCCUAAGGAGGGGUGAACCAGCCCAGGUCAGAAACAG
rnacentral:miRNA from 1 species